GAUGAACGCUGGCGGCGUGCCUAAUACAUGCAAGUCGAGCGAACAGACGAGGAGCUUGCUCCUCUGACGUUAGCGGCGGACGGGUGAGUAACACGUGGAUAACCCACCUAUAAGACUGGGAUCACCUCGGGAAACCGGAGCUAAUACCGGAUAAUAUAUUGAACCGCAUGGUUCAAUAGUGAAAGACGGCUUUGCUGUCACUUAUAGAUGGAUCCGCGCUGCAUUAGCUAGUUGGUAAGGUAACGGCUUACCAAGGCGACGAUGCGUAGCCGACCUGAGAGAGUGAUCGGCCACACUGGAGCUGAGACGCGGUCCAGACUCCUACGGGAGGCAGCAGUAGGGAAUCUUCCGCAGUGGGCGAAAGCCUGACGGAGCAACGCCGCGUGAGUGAUGAAGGUCUUCGGAUCGUAAAACUCUGUUAUUAGGGAAGAACAAAUGUGUAAGUAACUAUGCACGUCUUGACGGUACCUAAUCAGAAAGCCACGGCUAACUACGUG
rnacentral:rRNA from 1 species